CACACGCCAAAAACACCAUUUAGAAGAUAAUGCUCUGUGUCCAUGACCGGUGACUGUGACAAUGACACUUUGUCAGGUUCUGGCAAAGGACUGAGCGUUCCGAAUGUUCUUCUACAGUCCUUGGCUGGCUGCGCUGGCCUGGGGUCGGGCCAGGCUCAGGGCGAAAGAGCAGACUCUGAAGCCAUCCCUCCCCAGGGCCUCCUCAGGGCCUUCCACUUCCCCUCGACUCCUCCCUGUCUCACUUUCUCUCCCAGUCCCUGUCCCACCCAUUCCCCCUCUCCUAUCCAUGCUCAUUUCCUGCCCUGGGCCUGUCCUUGUUCCCUGUUGCAGCAUCAGCCUGUAUCCCCCAAGUCCCGGAGAAACAGGGCCGGUCAGGUAGGCCUGGAGCGGAGACCUCAGCUCAACCUUAGUCCACAGGAAUCCUCAGAAUUGGAGAGCUCAAGACAGCAGUGACUUCACAGAUAAACCCCAGUGCAGGCAUUGGAGCUGGUUAUCUGGGACAGGAAGUGGCUAUGGAAGCGCUGAACCAACUCAAAAUCCCCUUGCAACGGCUGCAUAAUUUCUCCAAGGACUCAGUCUUCACAGAAAUGAGGUUAUCGGGGCACCUCACCUGUGGGGAACGUUUGGGGAACUCCUUGCGGGUUCACUUGGGACAGACACUUGGAGGAUCACGCUAUGGCAAACACCCAUCACUUCUUUGUCCUGGCCUAUAGCAGACAUUGCUAAUCCAUCCCCACGCGGCUGUGGACUCCUUGUUUCCACAGUGCUCCAGGCAGCCACUGGUAAUCUAUUAGAAUUCACCCAGGAGGCGAGAUGUAAUAUCUGUUGCUGAUAGAAGAGCCAUUCUUGAGUGUGGGGCAAAAGAAACGUGUCUGCAAACAUCACAGGGUUAGGAUUCCUCAGAUAAGAGAACAAGGCUCUGAAGGAAUGAGACCUUGCUGAGGUCACGUGGGGCACUCAUGGCGGAAGGGUCUGGAGCUCUGGUCUUCCCACUCCUGGCCAAGAAGCCUUGGUCUGUAACUGGACAGUUGGUCCGGGAAUCAGAGCACAUAUGUGUGUCCCUGUGCCCACAUGUCCACCAGAAGCAGACCAUUGUAUUAACAGCCCCUCUUGCUGAUAAGCACAGGGGGUGAAAUCCCAGGGUGGUUGGGUUGAUCUGAUGAACUUUGAGCAUUCUGGGCUCCACGGGUCAAUUGGGCAGCAGUGUGCAGAUUGCCAGGAGGCUCAGUGCCUAGAACACAGCUGCGGGCCAGACAGGUUCAUCUGAGCCUUAGUCUGUGGCCAGUGUCCAAGGCAAUCUCAGCAGGACUCUCUGACACAGGUGUCUGAGGGACAAGACUUGCUUUAGGCCAGUUCCCACUCUGGGCAGCUUACCUCUGUCCUCUUGGCCUCUGAGGCCUGAUGCAUCCAUAAGGAAGCUGACCUGUGGCUUAAUCUGGCUGAGCCUAAGUUUCUUCAUCCAUUAACUGGGGAUAAUGAUACCUCCCCUGCUGAAAUGUCACAAGAAUGGGAUGAACCAAUUCUAUGAAAUGCUCAGCAUGAGGACCUGCACACACACGGCAACUCAGGGAGGCAGCUGGAAUCACCCGAGGACUUCUCCAGCUCUAAAGAGCCCAGCCCGUGACCCACCCACACCUUCCUGCAGAAAGCUGGCUGUCCCGUCUUUUGCUGGCUCUGUAGUCACCAGAACUUAAAUGCCUUGGCCAACCUGGAAGUCUGAGAAGAUUGAUUUCUCCUCGAUUGGAGAAAGGGCAAGAGGGAUGAAGAACAGGCCAGAAGUUCCCAAACAGCAGUCCCUGGUGCCCGUGUCCUAUAGCCUCUUUUGUGUGCUGGCUGGGGGAGCUACAAACAGAGACCCCUCCUAACGGAGGGAAUUCCCUUUCAGUCAGCAAAUCUCUGGCUUGGAAAUAGGUUCUGGCAAGAAGUGCCC
ensembl:lincRNA